UGUACAUUCAUACAAUGAGGAGGGCCAUGGAGAAUCUUCUGAGAGGUUUUCAAACGAAACGAACAACACUGACAAACAUUGAAUUGACCAGAAUGAAAGAUUACAAAGAAUCUGUGACUUUUGAUGAAUCCACCGCUGGGACUGGCCUGAUAAUAACUGAAUCUGGAAAACGUCUCAAGUAUUCGAAGGCUGCAAAGUCACAGUCACCAUCUUGUAAGAGGUUUGUUUUACCCAUGGUUUUUGGGACAAACGGCUUCACCUCAGGUCGGCACUACUGGGAGGUCCAGGUGGGUCUGAGAAACGACUGGGACAUCGGUGUUGCCCUGGAAACGGUUGAUAGGUCAGAUGAUUUUGUGAAAAAAGACAGGGGAUUCUUUUCUAUAGUAAAAUCUGGUUUUGAUUACAAAGUUAAUGAUUCACCCCGAGAAGUUCUCCUUCUCAAUCCCAGGCCAAGGCAUGUGGGAGUGUAUUUAGACUACGAGGCAGGCCGAGUAUCAUUCUUUGAUGUGGCCGAAAAGUUGCAUAUUUAUUCUUUUGAAAGAGAGCGUUUCUCAGGAAAACUCUUCCCAUAUUUUUAUCUGUACAGUGGUGCAAAGAGGUCUGAGCCCUUGAUUAUCCGUACGAUCUAUGAUCCAGAAUACUACCGUACUCUCAUUCACUCUCUAAAUCAAGAUAAAACAAACACUGAAUAGAAUAAAUUCUCAUAGGGUUGAACACCAAUUGCAGUACCUUGCAAAAGUAUUCGUCCCUCACAGGUCUGUACCUGUUUUUAUUACAUUCCAACCUGUAAAUUUCUAUAAUUCAGGUGUUGGUGUUGGACUUUUUGUUGAAAAGAUUGAAAUAAACAAACAAAAACAUGGUACAGGCAGGAUAGAGCCCAGGGUUAGCAGGAGACAGACUGCAUUCACAGCAGGCUUCACACAGCGGGAGAUGAGGGGCUGAAUAUACUGAAGAUGGAAUCUGCAAAACAGACGAGGGUCAGCGAAUGACAUCAACCCUGUUUGGAGGGUCUGUCAGUACCCGAUCUGUACCAGAAGCAGGAUCCGUAAUGUCGGCUCUUCUGCACAUGUGUAAACAGAAUAACUUCCGAAAAGGGAAUUCAUUCUUGUUCUUGCUUUUUUCUUCUUUUAUCGUAUUUUUGGUGGGAUAUUUAUUGAUGUAUUUCAUAGUAAUUCUGUGAAUAUUGCAUGAUUUAAAGGGAAUAACCAAAAUAAAGAAAAAAAUGGACACUUUAACUGCUCUGAGCAUGUGCAAGGACACACAGAGCAAACAUUUUUAUUCAUCUGAAUAUUUCUUUUUCUCUGAACCUAACUGUGCACUUCAGCAGUGUUGAUUAAAGAAUGGAUCUGUUUGCAGUCUUUUGUCUACUGUAGUGAUGUUUUUGUA